rnacentral:rRNA from 1 species
GACGAACGCUGGCGGCGUGCUUAACACAUGCAAGUCGAACGGUGAAGCGCCUUCCUUUUUGGUGGGUGUGGAUGAGUGGCGAACGGGUGAGUAACACGUGAGUAACCUGCCCCCUUCUUCUGGAUAACCGCAUGAAAGUGUGGCUAAUACGGGAUAUUCUGGGUCUGUCGCAUGAUGGGUCUGGGAAAGAUAUUGUUUCGGUGGGGGAUGGGCUCGCGGCCUAUCAGCUUGUUGGUGGGGUGAUGGCCUACCAAGGCGGUGACGGGUAGCCGGCCUGAGAGGGUGGACGGUCACACUGGGACUGAGACACGGCCCGGACUCCUACGGGAGGCAGCAGUGGGGAAUAUUGCACAAUGGGCGAAAGCCUGAUGCAGCGACGCCGCGUGGGGGAUGGAGGCCUUCGGGUUGUGAACCUCUUUCGCCAGUGAAGCAGGCCUGCCUCGUUUGUGGGUGGGUUGACGGUAGCUGGAUAAGAAGCGCCGGCUAACUACGUG